CCUGGAUGUCUUUCUGUCUUAGAGUCAAACGAUUUCACCAAUUUUGUGUUGCAAAUAAUGUUUUCUGCCUUAUGCUAACCUGGAAAGUAAACACCCACAGAUUCGGUUCCAAUACUUAAAAAACAGGACUAUAAAGAAUGGGCUGCCAGAAUCAGUGGGACGGUGAAGCAUCAGAAAGAGGAUCACUUUUUGAAGCAUUAUUAGAGGUAAUUUGCAGAGAACAAGAA
rnacentral:lncRNA from 1 species